ensembl:snoRNA
GUGCACAGUGAACACCCAGGGGUGCUAACGUGGCUCCCUCUGUCUCUUGUAUCUGUGCUACAGUAAAUCUGAUCCGUACCUCUGCAUCAGGAGAGUCUCAUCCUCCCCUAGAUGUAUUCAGCGGAUCAGAAUAACC